CCCGAGCAGCUGGGGCUGCCACGAGGGGCUGCCUGGGGGUUGAUGGGUUGUGAGGUUUGGGGGACAAGGGAGCAACUUCUCUUCCUUCUGGUUUCUUCCCAACCCAGCAGCUGCUCCUUCUGAGCUCCUCACUGCCUCCUCCUCCUCUCCUUCCCCUGUAAACGUGGGAGAGCCCUGGGCUCAGUCCUGGGCCCUCUGCUCUUCUCUAUCCACACCCACUUCCUAGGUGAUCUCAUCCAGUCCUGCGGUUUUGAGUGCUGUUUGUAUGCCGGGAUUCCUAAAUGGAUCACUCCUAGCCCUGUCUCUCCCCUGAACUCUGCACUCGCGCCCCUGACAUCUCCCCUUGGAGGCCAUAGGCCUCUCGCUGGCAGCAUGCCCUAAGCCAGCUUUCAUCUACCUCCCAUCUCAGCAGAUGCCCGGGCCUGGGCACCCAAGGGCUCAGCCCAAGCCAUUUGCCUGGCCCCUGCUGUGCCCAGAACAUGCCACAGUGACCUCAGGGCCUUUGCACUGCUGUUUUGGGGCCUGGAUCACUCUCCCCUCAGGUCUUUGCUUCACUGGCUUGCUCUUGACCUUCAGGCGUUCCUGAGAUACUCUCUGUGUUCUGGAUACUGAUCCUCGGACAGUUUCAUGGGUUGCAGACAUCUCUCCCAGGCUGGGACUGCCUUUUGGCUUUCCCCAUGGGCUCUCUCCAGCAGAUCUGUCUAUAAGGAGUUUGUCAGCGAUUGGGGCCAGGGCAGCGCGGUGGGGAAGAGGAGGCAGAGGCUGCACGGCCGAGGCUGGUGGGGCUGAUGAGGAGGCUCAGGACUUCUUUCAACAACAUGGUUGAAAUGGUCAGGUGAGGGGGCACUGAGAAACUUUUUCUUCUCUUAUUAAAUAUUGUAUACAUUUAAAGUGUACAAAACUUGAUGUUUUGACACAUGUACACACUGUGAAACAGCCACCACAAUCCUGCUAUGGAACAUAUGCAUCACCUCUCCUUAGUUACCGUUUGUCUGUGUGUUGAGAAGACGUAAUAAAAUCUACUCUCCUGGCAAAUUUGGGGUACACAAUACGGUGUUCUUAGCUAUCUUCACCAUACUGAUCUCUAGAACUUAUUUAUCUUGUCGAACUGAAACUUUGUACCCUUUGACCAACAGCACUGCAUUUCCUCCAACCCUAGCCUCUGGUAACCGCCGUUCUACUGUUUCUAUGAAUUUGUCUUUUUUAGAUUCCACAUAAAAGUGAAAUCAUGCAGCAUUUUUCCGUCUGUAUCUUGCUUAUUUCACUUAGCCUAACGUCCUGUAGCUCCAUCCAUGUUGUCAGGCUUUCUUCUUUUCAAAGUUUGAAUAAUAGCCCAUUGUGUUUGUGUGUGUGUGUGUGUGUGUGUGUGUAUCUAUCUCUCUCUAUCUCACUUGUAGGAAUGUAAAUAGGUGCAGCCACUUGAAAAACAGUAUGGAGGUUCCUCAGAAAAUUAAAAAUAGAAAUACCAUAUGAUCCAGCCAUCACACUGCUGAGUAUAUAUCCAGAGGAAUUGAAAUCAGGAUCUUGAAGAGAUAUAUGCACCCCCAUGUUCACUGCAGCAUUAUUCACAAAGCCAAGAUGCUGACACAGUGUCAAUAUCCUUCCGCGGACUGAGGAACAUUUUCUUUAGGACUCAAGAGGCCGGGCAGAGAAAAGAGCAAGUACAGAGACAGGGACUGGUGGGAUGGGUCUGUGGUGGGUGGGAGAACAUUCCAGAGAAAGGUUUGGUGAGCUGGCAGAAAACAAGUGCACUAAACAUGUUGGUUCUGAACAAAUUGAUCAAUAAAUGAGUUGAUGAAAAUGAUA